rnacentral:tRNA from 1 species
GCCCAGGUGGCGGAAUUGGUAGACGCACUACCUUGAGGUGGUAGCGCCGCAAGGCGUAGGGGUUCGAGUCCCCUCUUGGGCACCA